AGAGUUUGAUCCUGGCUCAGGACGAACGCUGGCGGCGUGCAUAACGCAUGCAAGUCGUGCGCGCCCAUGCCUUCGGGUGUGGGUGAGCGGCGAACGGGUGAGUAACGCGUGGGCAACCUGCCGCCUGGUGGGGGAUAACCUUUGGGAAACCGGGGCUAAUACCGCAUACGCCCGGGUGAUCGAUGGAUCGCCCGAGCAAAGCCGCAAGGCGCCGGGUGAGGGGCUCGCGGCCCAUCAGCUAGUAGGUGCGGUAACGGCGCACCUAGGCUAUGACGGGUAGCUGGUCUGAGAGGAUGAUCAGCCACACUGGGACUGAGACACGGCCCAGACUCCUACGGGAGGCAGCAGCGAGGAAUUUUCCACAAUGGGCCGUAUGGCCUGAUGGAGCAACGCCGCGUGGGGGACGAAGCGUCUCGGCGUGUAGACCCCUUUUGGGCGGGAAGAUGAUGACGGUACCGCCCGAAUAAGCCCCGGCUAACUACGUGCCAGCAGCCGCGGUAAUACGUAGGGGGCGAGCGUUGUCCGGAUUUAUUGGGCGUAAAGAGCGCGCAGGCGGCCCGCCAAGUCACCGCGUGAAAUCCCCCGGCUCAACCGGGGAGGGUCGGGUGAAACUGGCGGGCUCGAGGAUGGGAGAGGGGUGCGGAAUUCCCGGUGUAGUGGUGAAAUGCGUAGAUAUCGGGAGGAACACCAGUGGCGAAGGCGGCACCCUGGCCCAUACCUGACGCUGAGGCGCGAAGGCCGGGGGAGCGAACGGGAUUAGAUACCCCGGUAGUCCCGGCAGUAAACGAUGGACACUCGGUGUCGGCGGUGUUGACCCCGCCGGUGCCCGAGCUAACGCAUUAAGUG
rnacentral:rRNA from 1 species